rnacentral:tRNA from 1 species
UAAAAAACUAGUUUAAUCUAAAACAAGAAUAUGUGGAAUUCUAAAUAUUAUAAUCGUGUAAUGUUUUUUAUUAUUAUCU